CCUACGGGUGGCUGCAGUGGGGAAUAUUGGACAAUGGGCGAAAGCCUGAUCCAGCCAUGCCGCGUGUGUGAAGAAGGCCUUCGGGUUGUAAAGCACUUUCAGUGGGGAAGAAAGCCUUGGGGCUAAUACCCUCGAGGAAGGACAUCACCCACAGAAGAAGCACCGGCUAACUCCGUGCCAGCAGCCGCGGUAAUACGGAGGGUGCGAGCGUUAAUCGGAAUUACUGGGCGUAAAGCGCGCGUAGGCGGUCUGAUAAGCCGGUUGUGAAAGCCCGGGGCUCAACCUGGGAACGGCAUCCGGAACUGUCAGGCUAGAGUGCAGGAGAGGAAGGUAGAAUUCCCGGUGUAGCGGUGAAAUGCGUAGAGAUCGGGAGGAAUACCAGUGGCGAAGGCGGCCUUCUGGACUGACACUGACGCUGAGGUGUGAAAGCGUGGGUAGCAAACAGGAUUAGAUACCCUUGUAGUC
rnacentral:rRNA from 1 species